GAUGAAGAACGCAGCGAAAUGCGAUAAGUAAUGUGAAUUGCAGAAUUCAGUGAAUCAUCGAAUCUUUGAACGCACCUUGCGCUCCUUGGUAUUCCGAGGAGCAUGCCUGUUUGAGUGUCAUUAAUAUAUCAACCUUUUUGGGUUGGAUGUGGGUUUGCUGGCCUUUUGAGGUCAGCUCCCCUUAAAUGCAUUAGCAGACAACAUUUUGCCAACUGUUCAUUGGUGUGAUAAUUAUCUACGCUAUUGACGUGAAGCAAAGGUUCAGCUUCUAAUGGUCCAUUGACUUGGACAACUCUUAUUUAUUAAUUUGACCUCAAAUCAGGUAGGACUACCCGCUGAACUUAAGCAUAUCAAUAAGCGGUGGA
rnacentral:misc_RNA from 1 species